GCGCUUGUAAUGCCCUGCGGGGGAAAUAGCUUUUAUUUAUUACCUUUUUUUUUUUCUUCUACCAGCUGUCUUUAGUUGAUUCGAGGAAUUCUUAGGGAAAACUUCGCUAUCUCUUUCCCCCCCACCGAAGAAAAGAAAAAAAAACCCCACCACGUUUCCCCUCCCUCUCAUCUUAAAAGUGACUUCAUUAGGCUGCCGGAGAAAGAGUUACGCCGUUUUGGUUCAGUGAAAGGUAAGAAAAGAAUUUACCUGUUCUGACUCUCUUUCUUUCACUCUCUCUCUCCUUCCCUCUCUCACUUUUAGUUCCAGUCUCUCUGUCAACUAUAAAAGAUCAGCGAUCGGCCCUGGCAGACGCCAGCUCAGUGUGCCCUUAUGCGCCUGGGCUGUUGAUUUCCUUCUGGAGAAGGCUCAGGACGCACUAUGUGAGCUCCUCAAAUCCUGCAGCUGAUACUUAGGAACCUGCGCAGAUCCGGCAUAAAACCAAGUUUUCCUCUUCCUGCGCUAACCAGAGCCGAACAGCGAGCCAGCUGACAAGCUUUUGGCUGUCAGCCUUGCAGUAUGGCCACGGAGACACACAACCAGAACUUCUCUUCCAGUUCCAGCAGAAGUACCCCAGUUCAGAUGUCGCCCAGAUCAGGAAGGCCCACCUAUGACACACAGCUGUCACCCCCCUUACAGAUGGCACAGACACAGGAUGACCCAAGCCUUGGGGAGAUUUCCCUGCCUUUCCAGCGAACAGAGAGCGCCCCCUACAGGCCGAAGGGCAUCUCCACAGAGAAGUACCGGCGGCAUAGCAGUGAUGGUGUGAUGGGGCAGGGGUUUGGCUCUGCCGAGCCCACUCACUUUCACCCUUAUCGACGCCAGUAUAGCGCAGAGGGGUACAACAUUCAUUUGGGGGCCCAGGGAGACCCGUGCUCUCCUCCCCGAUCUUUCAGAGGGUUUGAGGGAAUGAAGCUCUCGGAGUCCAUGCCCCCAGCAUGCAGUCAGGAGCCCGACAGCCUUCCACCUGCGGUUCCAGGGACAUGGUCCAGUGUGGUGCCCUACAGCAGCAGUGUGCAGAGCACAAGACUGAUGGGAGCACAGCCCUCGUACCCAGACACAACCGAUAUAUCAGAGGACGAGAAGGUGAAAUCCUGCUCUUACCCCUCGCAGAUACAGCACAGCUACAGAGCAGCUCAGGCCCUGCAGCCGGUAAGACCCUGUGAAAGCAAUGUGAGUCAGUGCCC
rnacentral:lncRNA from 1 species